CCAACUACUACUAGCAAUACAUGGAAAUACACAUCUACAUCUUCACCAAAAUGUUAUUAUAUCCAGCUGACAAAUCAAAAUAGAUACAGAUGCUGUAUCUAAUCUAACCCGAACUACAUUUGGGGCUUUCGACUUGUUUCAUUACAUCCUCUUCAUGCUACAAUUCACUUGCUAUAUUCUCAAUCUCGUUUUCUAACAUCCUUAAUUAAUCUGUGUCUAUUCUCGUCAUCUCCAGCGCCUCGAGUUUGACACAAUUAAAAAUGAAUUCCGUGUUGCCAUCGCCUCGAUUUCCUGAUUUGAAUGGGUUUCCUGAUACGACGGCGUUUCGAGUGGAGCCGAAGCUUGAGCCGUUGGAUGAAGAUCUGGAGAGUCCACCUGGGAUGUUUACCCCGGGCUCGAGUGCUCGUAAUCGAAACCCGGGGUUUGAUCUUAAUGCUAAUGCUGAUGGUGUUGCGAGUGUUGGUACUAGUAGUGGUGUUUCGAAAGGGGCAGCCGCGCCGGAGGCUAGUAAUGUGUUGAGUGAAUUUAAUCGGAUAUCGGAGAUAUUUAAUUCGGCUUUUACGAGUGGGGGGUGUGAGGAGGAGGAGAGUGUGAUGGAGGAGGAGGAGAGGAAUGAGCUUGCGCUUGCAAUUGUGGCGGUUCCCGAGGAACAGGCGAUUGUUCCGAAGAAAAUUAAGUAUCCUCCAAGGUCGAAUGAGCUGGUUAGGGUUACUAAUUUGACCGAGGAGGAUGAGCAGUAUUAUAGGGAGAUUGUUAGGAGAGCGAGGAUGAUCUUUGAUUCGCUGAGUGUUUCUGCGGUUGUUGAUGAUGAUAGGAAUAUUGCGGGAGGGACGUUUGAUAGGAAGACGAGGGGGGAUACUAAGGCGGCUGGAUUGAUGAGGGAAUGUGGGUUGUGGUUGAAUAGGGAUAAGAGGAUUGUGGGGGCAAUUCCGGGGAUUGAGAUUGGGGAUGUGUUCUUUUUUAGGAUGGAAUUGUGUGUGCUUGGAUUACAUGGACAGGUUCAAGCUGGGAUUGAUUAUUUGCCGUCUAAUAGGAGUUCAAAUGGGGAGCCGGUGGCCACUAGUGUUAUUGUCUCGGGAGGGUAUGAGGAUGAUGAGGAUUCCGGGUAUGUGAUUACUUAUACUGGGCAUGGUGGGCAGGAUAAGAAUGGGAAACAAUGUGCGCAUCAGAAAUUGGAAGGAGGGAAUUUGGCAUUGGAGAGGAGUAUGCAUUAUGAGGUUGAGGUGAGAGUGAUUAGAGGGUUUAGGUAUUCAGGUGCGAAUAGUGGGAAGAUAUAUGUGUAUGAUGGAUUAUAUAAAGUUGUAGAUACUUGGUUUGAUGUAGGCAAGUCAGGUUUUGGGGUUUACAAGUUUAAACUCGUUAGAAUGGAAAAUCAGCCUGAAAUGGGCAGUACAAUUCUUAAGAUGGCUCAGAUGCUUAAGACUAAACCUUUAGAUGUCAGACCAAGGGGUUAUCUUUGCCUCGAUUUAUCUGGCAAGAAAGAAACUAUGCCAGUUCUUUUAUUUAAUGAUAUCGACAAUGAUCAGGAUCCAUUGCAUCAUCAGUAUUUGGUGAGUACUGUUAUUCCCAAGUAUGUUUUCCAGGUCGGGAGCCAUAGUGGUUGUGAAUGUAUUUCUGGAUGUUCAUUCGACUGUUUGUGUAUUCUGAAGAAUGGUGGAGAGUUUCCGUAUGACAACAAGGGGAUGUUAAUUAAAGGAAAACCACUGGUAUUUGAGUGUGGCCCACAAUGUCGAUGUCCUCCGACUUGUCGAAAUCGUGUCAGCCAGAAAGGGGUGAGAAGUAGGUUUGAAGUCUUCCGAUCAAGGGAAACUGGUUGGGGGGUUAGAUCAUUGGACUUAAUACAGGCUGGUGCUUUUAUCUGCGAGUACGCAGGAGUUGUUCUCACUCGUGAUCAAGCUCAGGUGAUUUCUAUGGUUGGUGAUACUUUGGUUUAUCCAAGCCGGUUUGCAGAGAGAUGGGCAGAAUGGGGGGAGUUGUCACAAAUAUAUUCCGAUUAUGUGCGUCCUUCGUAUCCAGCAAUUCCUCCAUUAGAUUUUGCCAUGGAUGUGUCAAGCUUGAGGAAUGUUGCCUGUUAUAUUAGCCACAGUAAUUCUCCAAAUGUUUUUGCACAGUUUGUGCUUUUUGACCAUAACAAUGUUAUGUUUCCCCGCACUAUGCUUUUCGCAAUGGAGAAUAUCCCUCCCUUGAGGGAGCUUAGUCUCGAUUAUGGGGUGGCAGAAGAAUGGACGGCGAAGCUUGCCAUCUGUAACUGAAUGCAUUCUGAGGUUUGUUGCAGUUCUUGAAUGUGAUGUUCUGUUUUCCUGCACUGAGGUUAGCUGUUUCAGUUUUAAAACUCAGAAAGAGGGGAUAGGUGUCUGCUCUUUGUAGUAUGAAGUUCUGAUUUGGAUUCGGGUUCGAGCUCGAGCGAGCUAUACUUUUUAAGCUCAAAGUUCGGCUAGAGAGGAAUUCAAAAGAUAUCAGCAUUCAUGUGGAACGCAAGGGUUGGUGCAUUUUUGGAUUAAUGGAGCAAGCGCAAGUAUCUUGAUGAGACUACCGCUACUUUACUAGCACCGCCGAGUAAUUACUUUGCACGAACAAACGUCAGGAGUAGGUUUAUUUAUCUAACUAGUUGUAUGUAUUAAGCACGCAUAUAAUUCUGUACAGGAAUUGUAUAACAUAGCUGUACUGCCUUCCUGUUUUAGGCCAGGAGGUCAUAUAUAUUGUAAUUUAGUUACAACUCUACGGAUAGUGCACACUGAGUCCGAUUACGUUUUUAUGAAUGAACAACUUAUCUGUAAAGCAUCAUUUGUCUUGAAUGUGUGCUUGAACCACGAUCGGUGUUAUACUGGCAAACUCAUAAUUUUAUAGUGGUUUUCUGUA